rnacentral:rRNA from 1 species
UACGUAGGGGGCAAGCGUUGUCCGGAUUUAUUGGGCGUAAAGAGCGUGUAGGCGGCUGGGUAGGUCCGUUGUGAAAGUCCAGGGCUCAACCCUGGAAUGCCAGUGGAAACUGUCGAGCUAGAGUCCGGAAGAGGCGAGUGGAAUUCCUGGUGUAGCGGUGAAAUGCGCAGAUAUCAGGAGGAACACCAAUGGCGAAGGCAGCUCGCUGGGACGGUACUGACGCUGAGACGCGAAAGCGUGGGGAGCAAACAGG